ensembl:lncRNA
GCACUAAAGGGGCCUGGGCUUCUCCUCAGCCGGGUGGAGGCCCCAUGUGACCUGAUGUUUUGAUUUUUCAAGAGAAACUGGACAUUAAGAUUUUAAUGUGAAAAUUCACGAUUCCAGGUGUUGGCAACUAUCCAAAAUUUAAAAUUGUUUUGCAGGCUAAACCAAGGUCCAUAUGCUGUCGGUUGGCAAAUCGAAGGUUGCUUCUGGUUUUCACUUUGUGAACUGCCCCCAAGUUCUCAGUUACCCAGGUUUCUGAGGCCCCUUCCUAUCCGUCCCUUGUUCCAUUUUUUUCUUUCUUUUUUUUUUUUUUAACUACAGAAGCAACUUGGGUCAUCUUUCCCUGUACCACGUCAAUCUCCAGUCUCCCUGUGGGGAACUAGAAGCAUUCAGCUUUGUUUUGACACUCUAUCUGCAAUGUCUCCAGAGGCCACCAGGGGGCAGAGGCAGGGUGCAGGAAACAAUUGGUUUUGGCCAGGAGUGAGGAUUUCUGCCAAGGUUGCAGAUCCGUCUUGAAUCCAGAUGUAGGUGUUCAGGAAGGCAUCUGUGGUCGUUCCUGAGGAUGCAGUGUGGCUCGCCAUUCCCUGCCUCACCUCCCAGUGGGUGCCAUUGCCUCACCUCUGUAUCACUGGGGAAGCAUUCCACCUGGACCUCCUGCCCUUAGCCCUUGACCCAAACUGUUUCCCAUGUACCCCAACCACCAGUCAAUCACUGAUGUCAAAUUGAUCUGCCCAAACCUGCUUUCCCCAGAGCUUCUCAAGAGCCCUCAGUGGCUCAUCAUCACAUACAGCUUUUCAGAUGUGCAGUGUCAAGAUGCUGAUCCUUGUUAAAUAAAGGAGAGUGGACAGAGAUUUCCUGUCAUCUUAAUUGUAAUCAUAAGGGCAAGCCUUGCAAUUCCAGUUUCACAGAUGAGGAGACUGAAGCAUACAGAGAAAGUGACCAAUUCAACCAACAAGCAGAACUCAUAUUUUCUGAGCAUCCUUGUGAGGUAACCUAAGGGAUAUAAAAACUUGAAGAUAUCAUUCCCAUCCUGAGAGACUACAGCUUGUUAGGAAAACAUGAUACACAUGGAUCAAAGGUAACUCAUUCCUAGAAGCUUCCAAACAGCUGUUCCAGAACAGAAGGAGCUCAGAGAGAGGUCCCUGCACCUAAAAGGUAGGGGAGCUUUGCCAGGGCAGCAGUGGUCUUCAGGCUUGGGCAUCUGUACCCCUAGAGAUACAGAAAGCCUUUUCUAAGGGCAGGCGGCAGGGUUGUGUUGAAGGGGAUCCGUCUCUGGAAAACACCGUGAAGAAGUACUGUUCCACACCUGAGAAGGCCUCUCCUCGCUUCCUUUCCACGAUGCUUGACUCCCACUUCACAGAAGGAAGAUGGUGGAGUCUGGAUGCCUGAGUGAGGAUGGCACGAAUCAGAACCUCCAACUGGCCUGCGAUGGACAUGUAUCUGCCCCAGUCUCUAUUUCCACCUUGAAAAAGUGGCACGUGAAUUGUCUUUGUUCUUAAUAAAGAAGCUGAUGUGAAUUCUUCUACACUCCUGCAUUCACAAGCUGGGCAGCCCUCUUCUGCACUAAUUAUGCUGUCUGCAUUUGCUUCCUAAUUGUUGUAUACGUAUAAACCACAUCUCCAAC